GUCUACGGCCAUGCUACUCUUAACAAGCCCAAUCUCGGUUGAUCUCCGAAGCUUAGCAGGGUUGAGCCUGGUUAGUUCUUGGAUGGGAGACCACCUAGGAAGACCAGGUGCUGUAGGCU
ensembl:rRNA 5S_rRNA 5S ribosomal RNA